rnacentral:rRNA from 1 species
AUUGAACGCUGGCGGCAGGCCUAACACAUGCAAGUCGAGCGGAUGACGGGAGCUUGCUCCUUGAUUCAGCGGCGGACGGGUGAGUAAUGCCUAGGAAUCUGCCUGGUAGUGGGGGACAACGUUUCGAAAGGAACGCUAAUACCGCAUACGUCCUACGGGAGAAAGUGGGGGAUCUUCGGACCUCACGCUAUCAGAUGAGCCUAGGUCGGAUUAGCUAGUUGGUGAGGUAAAGGCUCACCAAGGCGACGAUCCGUAACUGGUCUGAGAGGAUGAUCAGUCACACUGGAACUGAGACCCGGUCCAGACUCCUACGGGAGGCAGCAGUGGGGAAUAUUGGACAAUGGGCGAAAGCCUGAUCCAGCCAUGCCGCGUGUGUGAAGAAGGUCUUCGGAUUGUAAAGCACUUUAAGUUGGGAGGAAGGGCAGUAAGUUAAUACCUUGCUGUUUUGACGUUACCAACAAAAUAAGCACCGGCUAACUUCGUGCCAGCAGCCGCCGUAACAC